rnacentral:rRNA from 1 species
CAAACGACUCUCGGCAACGGAUAUCUCGGCUCUCGCAUCGAUGAAGAAUGUAGCGAAAUGCGAUACUUCGUGUGAAUUGCAGAAUCCCGCGAACCAUCGAGUCUUUCAACGCAAGUUGCGCCUGAAGCCAUUAGGUUGAGGGCACGUCUGCCUGGGCGUCUCAC